rnacentral:tRNA from 1 species
GGCCCCGUAGCUCAGGCGGUUAGAGCAUUGGCUUACUAAAGCCUCCCUCCUGCUGUCAUGUGUUCGAAUCUCACCGAGGCCA